GGAGAGAUGGCAGAGUCCGGUUGAAUGCACUCGACUCGAAAUCGAGCAGGCGAGCGAAAACUCGUCUCGGGGGUUCGAAUCCCUUUCUCUCCGCCA
rnacentral:tRNA from 1 species